AGUGCAUGAGUUCAUCUGUAAAAUUUAGCCAUUGAACAAAGAUCUUUUUAAGCUCUCUGUAUCAAAACUGACUAGAUAAAACUUGCUAGGUCAAAAUAGUUUUUCCGGUCGCCUCAGCGAUAGUUCUCUUGCUCUUUGUGAAGUUAAUUCUGAAGAUAAUAUCGCCGGAGAACUUAUUGUCAUCGUCAAGAUGUCCAAGAUUCUUUCCAUGAACACUGCAUUCACCAUCGUGUUGGCAUUUAUACUCUACAUAAACUUGACAUUUGCAACAAAAGGAAGAAUUGGUGCAAAGAAGCUUUUGAAAUAUUACGAAGACAGGAUGUCAAGAAUAAAGGAAAAGCGACAACCUCAGUAUAUCAGUCUUUGCGAUACAGAAAAAAGCAUAGUUUCAACGAGCAGCCUAGAUCCCAACCCUUGUUCAAAUUGCCAGUACUAUCCAUCACAGCUCAAUCAAGUCAAAUGUGCGACAAGCAAUUCCCUUAAUGCCAGAGGUCAUGUAAGCUGUUCACAAAACAUUCCUGGUGAUUGUUUAAAUGUUCAUGCUACAAUAAAAGUGAUAAAGUUUUUUCCUGGUUCCAGCCCUGUCGAUCUAAGCAUUAAUCUCAAAGUCGGCUGUUCUUGUUUUUACGUAAGCACAAGUUAAAGCGUGAGCGUGCUUGAAGAUGCACUGUAUUUUAGAAAUCACUGCACAACUAUUUAUUCACAUAAUAAUAAAUUUUGCUUGGAAAACCAGUAUGGCUGUUAAAAAGUCAGUUCUGCUUAUUUUUAAAAUGUUGACAUUCGUUUUUGUUCUGGUUGUUCUGUAUUACUUUUUGAUAUACCAAUUUUAAUGCAAAUUUUUAGUAUUUUCUCUGACGCAUUUAAAUGAAUUUUUUCCUGUAAUUAAAUAUAGACAUAUAAGUAUGAACUUAUAAUGGUAUAAAACUAAUUAGAUUUGGAAUAGGUUUUUUCAAGAUCAGUAAAAAGUGAAAAAUAAUCUUACAGUA